rnacentral:rRNA from 1 species
CCCAGACUCCUACGGGAGGCAGCAGUGGGGGAUAUUGCACAAUGGGGGAAACCCUGAUGCAGCGACGCCGCGUGAGUGAAGAAGUAUUUCGGUAUGUAAAGCUCUAUCAGCAGGGAAGAAAAAAGACGGUACCUGACUAAGAAGCCCCGGCUAACUACGUGCCAGCAGCCGCGGUAAUACGUAGGGGGCAAGCGUUAUCCGGAUUUACUGGGUGUAAAGGGAGCGUAGACGGCAAUACAAGUCGGAAGUGAAAUACCCGGGCUUAACCUGGGAACUGCUUUGGAAACUGUAUGGCUGGAGUGCUGGAGAGGUAAGCGGAAUUCCUAGUGUAGCGGUGAAAUGCGUAGAUAUUAGGAGGAACACCAGUGGCGAAGGCGGCUUACUGGACAGUAACUGACGUUGAGGCUCGAAAGCGUGGGGAGCAAACAGGAUUAGAUACCCGUGUA